AUUGAACGCUGGCGGCAGGCCUAACACAUGCAAGUCGAGCGGAUGAAGGGAGCUUGCUCCUGGAUUCAGCGGCGGACGGGUGAGUAAUGCCUAGGAAUCUGCCUGGUAGUGGGGGAUAACGUCCGGAAACGGGUGCUAAUACCGCAUACGUCCUGAGGGAGAAAGUGGGGGAUCUUCGGACCUCACGCUAUCAGAUGAGCCUAGGUCGGAUUAGCUAGUUGGUGGGGUAAAGGCCUACGAAGGCGACGAUCCGUAACUGGUCUGAGAGGAUGAUCAGUCACACUGGAACUGAGACACGGUCCAGAUUCCUACGGGAGGCAGCAGUGGGGAAUAUUAGACAAUGGGCGAAAACCUGAUCCAGCCAUGCCGCGUGUGUGAAGAAGGUCUUCGGAUUGUAAAGCACUUUUAGUUGGGGGGAAGGGCAGUAAGUUAAUACCUUGCUGUUUUGACGUUACCAGCAGAAUAAGCACCGGCUAACUACGUG
rnacentral:rRNA from 1 species